GUCAAUUCAAACCAACCAAGAUGAUCUCCCAGGCUCAGCUCCUCUGGCUGUUAGUGCUCUGGAUCCAGGAUUCCAGUGGGCAGAUUGUGCUGACUCAGACUCCAGAAUCCCUCUCAGUGUUUCCAGGAGACAGAGUCACCAUCAACUGCAAAGCCAGUUCAAGCCUCACCAGUAGCUCUUCAGGCAAAGAGGUCUUAGCCUGGCAUCAGCAGAAAUCAGGACAAGCUCCUAAACGCCUUAUUUAUUAUGCUGACACCCUUGUAUCUGGGGUCCCAGCCCGGUUCAGUGGCAGUAGAUCAGGAAGUGAUUACACCCUCACCAUCAGCAGUGUUGAAGCUGAAGACGCUGGAGAUUAUUAUUGUCAACAAGGCAAGAGCUACCCUCUCACAGUGAUACAGACUAGUUCAAAAACCUGCCUGUGCUGUUCUGUCCAAUGUCACAGCUGCUUCCUCAACAGUCAUCACCUCAAUGAAACUGCUACACUGGAGGUUUGA